UUGAUCCCAUUCCAUGCCUCAAGCUCCACUAUCCACAGGAGGAAGACUAUCCGAGAUGAUCUGUGCCAAUUGACUUCCAGACUAGAGUGUGAUCCAUUAGUGCACUCCUUCCUCAUCGUCAACUUAUUGGGGGAUGACAUGAGAAAGAGACGCCGCACUUCAAAAGCAGUCCACCAUGCUAAAACAUGAGAGCACCUACCCAUCAAAGCUACAAAAAGC
rnacentral:lncRNA from 1 species